rfam:Populus trichocarpa isolate Nisqually-1 chromosome 17, whole genome shotgun sequence.
UAAUUUGUUCGGAGUAGGUCCUCAUUUAGUUAUGGCAAACUCACAUCUGACUACCUAGAAUCACUCGUUAUCAUAAGCCCAACUACAAUAACAAAUUGGACAGAUAUGUAUAUUUUAACUCAUAAAACAUAUU